GCCAGACUCCUACGGGAGGCAGCAGUGAGGAAUAUUGGUCAAUGGCCGAGAGGCUGAACCAGCCAAGUCGCGUGAGGGAUGACGGCCCUACGGGUUGUAAACCUCUAUUGUCGGGGAGCAAAGAGAGUCACGCGUGGCUCAUUGAGAGUACCCGAAGAAAAAGCAUCGGCUAACUCCGUGCCAGCAGCCGCGGUAAAACGGAGGAUGCGAGCGUUAUCCGGAUUUAUUGGGUUUAAAGGGUGCGCAGGCGGAAUGUCAAGUCAGCGGUAAAAUUUCGGGGCUCAACCCCGUCGUGCCGUUGAAACUGGCGUUCUUGAGUGAGCGAGAAGUAUGCUGAAUGCGUGGUGUAGCGGUGAAAUGCAUAGAUAUCACGCAGAACUCCGAUUGCGAAGGCAGCAUACCGGCGCUCAACUGACGCUCAUGCACGAAAGCGUGGGUAUCGAACAGGAUUAGAUUCCCUCGUAA
rnacentral:rRNA from 1 species